GUAAGGAAUAUUGGACAAUGGACGCAAGUCUGAUCCAGCCAUGCCGCGUGAAGGAUUAAGGUCCUCUGGAUUGUAAACUUCUUUUAUAAGGGACGAAAAAAGGCUUUUCUAAGUCGUCUGACGGUACCUUAUGAAUAAGCACCGUCUAACUCCGUGCCAGCAGCCGCGGUAAUACGGAGGGUGCAAGCGUUAUCCGGAUUCACUGGGUUUAAAGGGUGCGUAGGCGGGCAGGUAAGUCAGUGGUGAAAUCCUAGAGCUUAACUCUAGAACUGCCAUUGAUACUAUCUGUCUUGAAUAUUGUGGAGGUAAGCGGAAUAUGUCAUGUAGCGGUGAAAUGCUUAGAUAUGACAUAGAACACCUAUUGCGAAGGCAGCUUACUAUGCAUAUAUUGACGCUGAGGCACGAAAGCGUGGGGAUCAAACAGGAUUAGAAACCCGUGUAGUCC
rnacentral:rRNA from 1 species